CGUAGAUAGAGGAGACUAGGAAGAGAGAAAGAGAGAGUGCAUGGAAUGGAUGGUGAUGGUGGCGUGGUCAUUUCUGGAGGCAGGCAGCUAUAUAUGUAUUUGUCUUUUUUAUUCAACGUUAGUUAUUAGGGUUUUGGAAUUUAAUAUAUAAAAGCCCUUCCAGUCCACUCCUCCCCAACUACAUCAUCAUCAUUCCAUUCAUCAUUUCACAAUCACACGCCCCCUUGAUCUCUCUCUCUCUCUUGCAGAGGGUCAGAGAGAGAGACAUGAGAGCCCCCCUUGAAGAUAGGCGAUCGAUACUCUUGGGGGAUUUGAACAGAUCUAUUAAGAAACUCAACCCCCAAUAUGCAGUGAUGAUCCAGAUGGAUGAAGAGAGCUUCUGUUUUGAGGGGAAUGUUGUCUGGCUCGAGGACACUUGAUUUCUUCAUCAUUCGCAGCCGAUUCAGUUCUAUGAUGGGUUAUUAAUUGUCGUCGGACCAGGCUUCAUUCCCCCCAAUUAUUUGCUCAUCCCGGAUCCAGGAGAGAGAGAGAGAGAUAGAUCCAUCGAUGUGCAUGAAGAGGACAACAGUUGGAGUUCUUGAUGCUACUAAGUUAACCACUAGACACAGUGAAGGUGGAAGUGGAAGUAGGUAAUAUUUGUAAAUAGACUAUAGGUACUGGCUACAUGCGCAGCUGGUAAUACAACUCACUGUAGAGAAUUCAAAUAGGUUUUGAUGUAUGUGAUUCUUCAUUGAGAUUUGAGACCCACUUGUCGAGUUUGUUGCAUUAAAAAUACACUCUUCCUAACUUUCUUCUCGACCUUUUGUAUAAUAUUGACCACGAAGAGUAGUUUCACUUGUUUUUUGUUUGGAAAGAGCACCGUCCUUCUCUAGUUGCCAUGCCACCUGUUUAAGGAUUGAGAUCCACCACUAAAGGAAGAAUCAAAACAUGAUCAGGCAUAUGCAUGGUAAUUUGAAUUAUCAUGUAAGAUUUUGCUAUGUUUGUGCUUCUUUUGUGCAGUGUAUGUCGGAGUUGAACAAGAAGUACUCUCAUAUAUGCAGGUGAAACAAGAUUUGACUUUGUUCUACAUUUCAUCAAAGCUGGUUUGGAAUCUGGGACGAAUCGAAUUAAAAGCCAGACUACUACUACUCUCUUUGUUCAUGUAAUUAAUCACUAAUCCUUGUAUAUGUACAUUGCUACAAGUCAUAUGUAUAUGUCUAGCUCAUUGUUGAAUCAUUCAAUUUAAUUCAGCAUUUUAGUCCACGUUGAAAA